rnacentral:rRNA from 1 species
UCGAGAAUCUUCGGCAAUGGACGAAAGUCUGACCGAGCGACGCCGCGUGCGGGAUGAAGGUCUUCGGAUUGUAAACCGCUGUCAGAGGGGAUGAAGUAUACGAGAGCUAUCUCUUGUAUUUGACAGAGCCUCAGAGGAAGCACGGGCUAAGUUCGUGCCAGCAGCCGCGGUAAUACGAACUGUGCGAACGUUAUUCGGAAUCACUGGGCUUAAAGGGUGCGUAGGCGGUUAUCUAAGUCACGUGUGAAAUCUUCCGGCUCAACCGGAAAACUGCGCGUGAUACUGGAUGACUUGAGUGAGGUAGGGGUGUGUGGAACUUCCGGUGGAGCGGUGAAAUGUGUAGAGAUCGGAAGGAACGCCAGCAGCGAAAGCGGCACACUGGGCCUUUUCUGACGCUGAGGCACGAAAGCUAGGGGAGUGAACGG